GCUUGUUAUCCACUUCAACCUUAUAGUUCCAAAAGGUACAUGUAGCUUAUCGCUCAACCUCCUUCCCGGUUCUGAGCUGUAAGGUUGUCCACUGAUAACAUGGACAUAAUCACAAGACUAUGCUAGUACGGUACAAUACAGUUGAAGUGGCAAAUAUGCUUUAAAGUUCCUAUCUACACCGUAUCAUAUACUGUAUCAUACAGUAUUAAUAGAUUCGUGUCAUCUUUUAGAAUUUUUGAUACUUGAAAAUGUCAUAUCUCGUUACCAUUAUCCAUCAAUUCUUGAUCUUAAAAUGGGAACUCAGAUCCACAGUGACUCAAAAACCAGCGAAGAAGAAAUGAAAAGAAGGAGAAGCAAAUGGGAAAGAACUACCGCAAGGACACUUGGUGUUCGUUUAGGAGGAAUGAAGGUAUAAUCCAUUUUCGACGUGCAUGCCGGUCUCCCUCCCAGGAUUUUUCUGCAUCAUAGAGUCAACAAAUUGGGGCUACUGAAUGAAUGAACUAUCAAUUGUUUUAUGUACCAGUUUUCGCAUGCAGUAAUUUGUAAGGCAUCAGUGAUCACCAAUUUUGAAUAUACACACAUGCAAGCACACGCAGUGCGUAUAUACUGUAUUAUAUAUAAAAAAUAUAGUUCAUGUUGAAACAAUGUCUGGGAAAUAUACAGUCGUUUGAUUAAAAGGCGAGGAGUUGCUGAAUGCAUGUAGUUUUAGUUAUUUUAUUAACAAUUAAAACUACUCAGACAUACGUUGUUAUAUACUCAUCAGAAUUUCAUGUCCAUUAUCUUCAAACAAUUAAGUGUUCCCGUUGGUUCAUUCAACGUUAGUUUUAGUUUGCUUACACGUGCUCUUCUCGUGUACUUCUGGCGUGAUUGGUUGCGCGCGUUUAUUUUCGCGCUGCUAUACCUUGCUACCAGAAAUGCUUUUCAGUUGUAGCACUUCGAGAAAACUCCAGUUCUCUUGUUGAGAAUUAUGUUCUUAUUUGCCGUCAAAGUGAAAAGUUAAUUCUUGUUGUUACAAAGAUUACAGUUUUUGCCCCCGAUUUAUACGCUGAUGCCGUGAUGCGUACUUUAAAAUAGACCACUUAGUUCUGUAUGGACGGUCGUUUUCCUUCACAUAUUACACGUACGUAGACAACACCGUCUCAUCGUAGAUAUUAUAGAGAUUCAGAUUUGACUUCCACUACCGCUACCAUUAAAGGAUCAUUAACCAAUCAGAUGCGUUUGAUGUAUCCGAUUAAUCAAUCAGAUGCGUACUAAGCACGCAGUGAGAGGUAGCGGUAGUGGAAGUCAUAUCUGAACCUCUCUAAUGUUGUUGAACGACUUCUGGUAGUUUCCGGAUCGCUCUUUAAACGUGUUUGCCGUUAUGCCAAUGUAUUGUUUUACAGUGCCUUCAGCAUGAUAAACCAGGUCUCAUGAUAAACCAGGUUUUAUGGUCUCAUUGUUUUCAGUGCCGUAGCCAGAACGAUAAUUGGGAGGGGGGGGCACAUAUUCAUAUAUUCGUGUUCUGCUUUAUUAAUCUCUUUUGAAAUCAAUUGUUUUUAUGGUAUGUGAACACGAAUAUAUGAAUAUGUGCCCCCCCCCCCCAAUUAUCGUUCUGGCUACGGCACUGAUUGUUUUGCUAAGAUCUUGGCUUUUGUCUAGAUAUGGUCGAUUUGACAUUUUUCAUACAACUAUACAUGUAUAUAUAGCUUAUUUUUAUAGAACUCCUGUUGACAAUUUUAUGGAGUGGAAACACCUUAUAGGAAAGUGGUGUCAAGGAGGCGUAGAAAAUCUUUCCAGACAUUCGUUUUGACAUUCGUACAAAAUGGUGGAGUAAACCAUGUUUAUUGCUCGGUUUCUUCCUGACGUGUAUGGGUGUCAGAGUGAGCUGCAUAAUCUAGCUUGUAUUGGUUAUUUCUCCGGUUAAGGGCCUUUUCGCGAGAGAUGUUUCGAAUGAUUGUUUGCUGGAUGAAAGUCGUGAGUUUUUUGUUGAUUGAUAUAUACAGCUCGUUGUGUUAUGGUCGAAGGUGGAUGUUGGGGUAUAGUUUUCGAUAUUCUAGCAAAUGUACGGUUUGAUGUUUAUUUUAAGUUUAUUUUAUAAAUUUCACUCAAAUUUCGAUCAACACAUCGCGAUUAUUUAACACACACGUUCUCUUCUGAUUAAAUGUACAGAAGUGUGCCAUCAAACCGCAUAUUUCCAAGACAUCACUUUUAACCUUGCUGGCGGUAGUUACCAACCCUACAGAAAACUGAACAACGACCCACUACUAGGGUUGGGCGAUAUUUCGAUAUUUUGAUUUAUCGCGAUAUUUUCAAUCGCGAUUAUCGUAUCGAAGGUAGAAACUUGAGGGACGAUAUAUCGAAAUUAUCGUCAUGCUCAAUGACUAUCGUGAUAUUGUUUCGCAUGUGCAUAUAGCUGUUAUAUAAUCGUAAAAAGAUCAUUCAAUUGCUAGAAAAUAUAGUUUUUAAAAGAAUUAAAACUAUUUCCUGAAUUAAAUACGAAUUUAAUACGAUACAAAAGCUAACUGAUAUUUAUGUAUUAAUCUGCUGAUUGCCUGCGCUGUGUGCCCACGGCAUUGUGCCAGCGGCGACACAGUAGACACCAUUGAACUAGACACUGCAUGGACAGUUAUUAUAUUAAUAGACUAAAAAAGCCUUCAUAUUAUCUUAUAUGUAAGCUUACUAUGCUUUGAUACUAAUUAAAAUUGAAAAAAUGUGGUCAUUGUUUUUGUUGCAUUUAUCGCGAUAUUAUCGAAUAUCGUGAUAAUUUCCUUGACAAUAAUCGUGAGAUGAUUUUUUUAAUAUCGCCCAACCCUACCCACUACUUUACAAAUCAACAACUAUUCCAACCAUCUACCUUCGAUUAUUACACGUCAACUACCUGUACAAAAACAAAAGACUCGGGACUUUCAUCCAGAGACAAUCAUUCGAAACAUCUGCAUCUCUCUACGAAUAGGCCCUUAAGCUGGAUUAUACAGCUCACCAUAACACCCCAAACACGUAUGGAUUAAUCCAUCAGAUAGUAGUAAGAAUGGCAGAACGAAUAUCGGUAAAUAUUUUCUACGCCUCCUUGACACCCACUUUCCUAAGUCGCCUCCACUCCAUAAAAUCUUCAACAGGAACAUUAUAAAAAUAAUCUAAAUCAAUCAAUCAAUCACAAAACAAUAUUGCACGUCUAUGGUCGGCACAGACGACGUCGAAUUGCGCCAUAAUAUAAUCACACUGAAUUUUAUGAGAGGUGAUUACCGCUAUAAUUCAACAUGUAUAUUAUGCAAUUCAAUUACGCAUUUCACUAUGACACUCCGAACUAUUGCUAAUUUCUGAUCCAUUGACUUUCUUAACCAAAAUUUAAUCAGUUUGUCCUUGGCCAACGUCCAUUAGUCCCACAAAUUAACGAACUACAGUAUUACAAUUUAUUGAAUAUUUUGACUCGAAUCGUUGUGUCAUCCUGAUAUAAACCCUGGUUAAACCGUUCAACCCUUGUGCAGUUUUCUUCUUGUUUUACAUGUAGAAUUUCGUUACUCUGCAGGUAUAUCAUGUUGACUGUGGA